GAUGAGAUGGUGACCUGAGCCAAAGUCAGACGCUUACCUGACUGAGCCAUCCAGGCACCCCAACUUAGAUUCAUAUAUUUAGGGAUAACCACUGCUAGCAUGAUGAUGUCUCGUUUAGUUAAUAUCUCAUAAACAUAUUCUUGCUACAAAAUAUUAUGACAUAACAUUAUAUUUAAGGAUUAUAUACUGUAUCAUUGUAUGAGUCUAGCAUCUUUUAGUUAACCAAUCUCCUAUUUUUGGACAUUUACUUUUUUUAACUAUUCAUUAUUGAAAACAAUGCAGCAAUUACCCUUGAAGGCAAAUCUUUGUGUACAUUCAUAAUUAUUUCCUUAAGAUAAUUUCUUAAAAGUAGAACUUCAGGACCAAAGGAUAGGCAAAGCAUUAGGACUUUUUUCUUUCUGGAAAAAUUUUACCAAUACUUUAAGGCCCAACAGCGAAAUGAGAGUUACUCUACCCCCUGCCAACAUUGAGUGUUAUCAAUCAAUGUCCAAGUAAUUAUCAAUUCUAUAGGAGAAAAAUAAUAUUUUGCUCUAUUUUUCAUUGUUUAAAGUCACUAUGAGGCCAGACAUCUUUUCAUAGUUUAUCAGCCAUUUGUAUUUCUCUUUUCAUUACAUUUUGAGAAGCAAAAUUUUAAACAAUUUUUCAUUCAGUCUAAGCAAUACCAAAUAUCUUGAUGAUAGAUUAACAAAAAAGUUUCAGAUAUUUUUUCCUGGAGUCCUUCUCCUUUAUUUAGAUGACAAGCCGUAGAAUUUUAAGGUUGAAGGGUACCUUAAUGUUUGACACAUACCUGUGUAGCUUUGGUAACUUGGUGGGUUUUUCUGCUCUGAAUGGACAUGCACAUGAUGGGCACUAAAUUAAUGGAGAAAUGUGAAAUGAAUGACUAAUAAGACCUUUUUCUGACCUCACUGAGAACUAAAAUGUUGAGUUGUCAGGUUAUUUGUGGCUACAAAAAUAAUACUGGCAAAUAGUCUGGGGCUAUCAAAUUCAGUUCCGUCUGUAAUUGAAUUAGAGACCCACAUCCUUUUCUCCAAGGAGAUUGGUGUACCAAACACUGCCUUUGACAGUGUUUAGUAUUACACAAGAUUUCAGCCAAUGAACAAAGUUUCUAUUUAUGGAAAAUGUCAAGGGUGAUAAGCAUGAAAGAGUAGUAAUAUCAUUAUUUUCUAUCUAACUUACUUAAUAAUUGGAUAUGAACAGUGAGAAAAUUUCUGCCAAACAAAUACAAAUGUUCUGUCCUAAUAAAUUGAGUUAAAGUUUCAAAGGUUUGUGGAAUCCUAAAAAUCCAAAACCAAUGCAAAACGAACACUUCAGAUGGGGCAAUUAUAGGUAGAAAGUCCCAUGGAAAUGUGCACAGGUUUUAUGUCAAAAAGAAAAGCAUUCUUGAACAGCUAGUCCUCCCCUGCAUGGGGCUGGUGUAUUUUUGAGAAUUUGCAUAUUGUCACUUCCAAAAGGAAUAUUUUGUGGUCUCUUCCAGUUGCUUCCAUCCCUGCAUGCUCACGUGCACGUGCGCACACUUGUUCCAGGAUUGUAGUUCCUGGACUCUGAAUUCCUCAGCGUCACAGAGUUUGCAUGUCCCAUCUACAACCCUGAGUCUGGCAUAGCCCAGUUGCUCACCAAAUGUGCAUGAUGGAAUGAAAAAACAAACCUGCCAAAGCAUACCAGAAUAAAGGGUUCAGGCCCCAGAAGUUACAUUCUUGGAGAAGAAUUUGAAUCCUCAGGACUAAGAAAAUAAAAUCUGGCCCAGGUUGUUGUGUUCUUGAAGUCAUUCUUUGGUUUAUUUGGCAUAAUGAAAUCUAUAACGUCUCGUCUUUAAAUAACUAACUUCACUGAAACCCUUGUCAGCUUUAAUAGGAUUCAGGUGAGGGAAUUUUUGUUUCCUUGGCAUUGGAAUUCCAACUCUUCUGUAGAUUAUUUAAAAAGCAUCUCAGUCUCCAUUGCAGUGCCAACCAAUAUAAACACAAU